GUCGACACUUGCAAUCGGCCUCCCGCGGCAACCGUUGCCCGGUUUGGCCCGAACUCUUGCGCGACUUAGCGAACGACCUCCAAAUCGCGAUCCGUCUUUUCCGGAAGUUAUUCCUUGACUCCAAGGUGCUCCGGUUCCGAUCUCAUGAUUUUUAGACCUUUAUUCCGCGUGCUGCGGCUAUCUGUACCAAAACCGACCGUUUUGUCAAUAACUUCGCGUACGCUCAUCGGAUUGCCGAACCGAGCGCACCAACGCGUUCGUUAGGUACCCAAUUAGGUUUCUACAAGGCCAAUUUGCCUUAGAAACACCCG
rnacentral:lncRNA from 1 species